CCUACGGGUGGCAGCAGUGGGGAAUUUUGGACAAUGGGCGAAAGCCUGAUCCAGCCAUGCCGCGUGAGUGAAGAAGGCCUUCGGGUUGUAAAGCUCUUUCGGCCGGAACGAAAUCGCACGGGAUAACACCCCGUGUGGAUGACGGUACCGGAAGAAGAAGCACCGGCUAACUACGUGCCAGCAGCCGCGGUAAUACGUAGGGUGCGAGCGUUAAUCGGAAUUACUGGGCGUAAAGCGUGCGCAGGCGGUUUGUUAAGCCAGAUGUGAAAGCCCCGGGCUCAACCUGGGAACUGCGUUUGGGACUGGCAAGCUAGAGUGCGACAGAGGGGGGUGGAAUUCCACGUGUAGCAGUGAAAUGCGUAGAGAUGUGGAGGAACACCGAUGGCGAAGGCAGCCCCCUGGGUCGACACUGACGCUCAGGCACGAAAGCGUGGGGAGCA
rnacentral:rRNA from 1 species